GACGAACGCUGGCGGCGUGCUUAACACAUGCAAGUCGAACGGAAAGGCCCUGCUUUUGUGGGGUGCUCGAGUGGCGAACGGGUGUGUAACACGUGAGUAACCUGCCCUUGACUUUGGGAUAACUUCAGGAAACUGGGGCUAAUACCGGAUAGGAGCUCCUGCUGCAUGGUGGGGGUUGGAAAGUUUCGGCGGUUGGGGAUGGACUCGCGGCUUAUCAGCUUGUUGGUGGGGUAGUGGCUUACCAAGGCUUUGGCGGUUAGCCGGCCUGAGAGGGUGACCGGCCACAUUGGGACUGAGUUACGGCCCAGACUCCUACGGGAGGCAGCAGUGGGGAAUAUUGCACAAUGGGCGGAAGCCUGAUGCAGCAACGCCGCGUGCUGGAUGACGGCCUUCGGGUUGUAAACCGCUUUCGCCUGUGACGAAGCGUGAGUGACGGUAAUGGGUAAAGAAGCACCGGCUAACUACGUG
rnacentral:rRNA from 1 species